AGAGUUUGAUCCUGGCUCAGAACGAACGCUGGCGGCGUGCUUAACACAUGCAAGUCGAACGCGAAAGGGACUUCGGUCCUGAGUAAAGUGGCGCACGGGUGAGUAACGCGUAGAUAACCUGUCUUUGUGUCUGGAAUAAUACUUCGAAAGGGGUACUAAUACCGGAUAACCUUGCUUUUCACAAGUUAUGCAAGCAAAGGUGGCCUCUGAUACAAGCUACUGCAUGAAGAGGGGUCUGCGUACCAUUAGCUAGUAGGUGGGGUAAUGGCCUACCUAGGCGACGAUGGUUAGCGGGUCUGAGAGGAUGAUCCGCCACACUGGCACUGGAACACGGGCCAGACUCCUACGGGAGGCAGCAGUGAGGAAUAUUGCGCAAUGGGGGCAACCCUGACGCAGCGACGCCGCGUGAGUGAGGAAGGCCUUCGGGUCGUAAAGCUCUGUCAAGAGGAAAGAAGUGCAUAAUGGUUAAUACCUGUUAUGUUUGACGGUACCUCUAAAGGAAGCACCGGCUAACUCCGUGCCAGCAGCCGCGGUAAUACGGAGGGUGCAAGCGUUGUUCGGAAUCACUGGGCGUAAAGGGCGCGCAGGCGGUAUGGUAAGUCAGAUGUGAAAGCCCACGGCUUAACCGUGGAAGGGCAUUUGAAACUGCCAGACUUGAGUACCAGAGGGGAAAGUGGAAUUCCCGGUGUAGAGGUGAAAUUCGUAGAUAUCGGGAGGAAUACCGGUGGCGAAGGCGACUUUCUGGCUGAGUACUGACGCUGAGGCGCGAAAGCGUGGGGAGCAAACAGGAUUAGAUACCCUGGUAGUCCACGCCGUAAACGAUGUCAACUAGAUGCAGGGGGUGUUGAUCCCCUCUGUGUCGCAGCUAACGCAUUAAGUUGACCGCCUGGGGAGUACGGUCGCAAGAUUAAAACUCAAAGGAAUUGACGG
rnacentral:rRNA from 1 species